GCCCUUGUAGUUCAAUGGAUAGAACAACUCCGUCCUAAGGAGGAAAUCUGGGUUCGAUUCCUGGUGAGGGCA
rnacentral:tRNA from 1 species